rnacentral:rRNA from 1 species
UACGUAGGGUGCGAGCGUUGUCCGGAAUUAUUGGGCGUAAAGAGCUCGUAGGCGGUGUGUCACGUCGGCCGUGAAAACCUGCAGCUUAACUGUGGGCGUGCGGUCGAUACGGGCAGACUAGAGUUCGGCAGGGGAGACUGGAAUUCCUGGUGUAGCGGUGAAAUGCGCAGAUAUCAGGAGGAACACCGGUGGCGAAGGCGGG